GGGGGCGAAACGGUUUCGACGGGGAUAGUUGAACCCGCGGCUGCAUGUCGAGGUCUCGUCUGCUCGUAAAACAGGCGGGAAAAACAUAAAGGCAGACUCUUACGAGUACGCCCUGGCCGCGUAAAGGCCAGCGUCCACCGGUUCUUCGCCCGCGAGGGCCGAAUGGGCGUCGUUUAGUGGGCUAGCCUUAAGUGGGGCCGAAGGCGCAGUUAGGCGAAACAAUACCUUGGGCUGGUCUGGUGAAGUUCCCUGUCCGGGGGAGCUAUCCGGAUGAGAAAUAAACCCGGAAUAAGCAUGUAGACGUCUCGGGGGAAGAUUCUCGGACGCGGGUUCGACUCCCGCCGCCUCCACCA
rnacentral:tmRNA from 1 species